CCCUUAGAUGUUCGGGGCCGCACGCGCGCUACACUGAAGGAAUCAGCACGUCUUUCUCCUUGUCCGAAAGGACUGGGUAACCCGCUGAACCUCCUUCGUGCUAGGGAUUGGGGCUUGUAAUUCUUCCCCAUGAACGAGGAAUUCCCAGUAAGCGCGAGUCAUAAGCUCGCGUUGAUUACGUCCCUGCCCUUUGUACACACCGCCCGUCGCUACUACCGAUUGAAUGGUUUAGUGAGAUCUUCGGAUUGGCGCCUACGCGGCUUCUCUGAGGCCACGCUGGAUGCCGAAAAGUUGCUCAAACUGUAUCAUUUAGAGGAAGUAAAAGUCGUAACA
rnacentral:rRNA from 1 species